rnacentral:rRNA from 1 species
UGGGGAAUAUUGCACAAUGGGCGAAAGCCUGAUGCAGCAACGCCGCGUGCGGGAUGACGGCCUUCGGGUUGUAAACCGCUUUCAGCAGGGACGAAGGUUUUCUGACGGUACCUGCAGAAGAAGCACCGGCUAACUACGUGCCAGCAGCCGCGGUGAUACGUAGGGUGCGAGCGUUGUCCGGAAUUAUUGGGCGUAAAGAGCUUGUAGGCGGUCCGUUGCGUCGGAAGUGAAAACUCAGGGCUUAACCCUGAGCCUGCUUUCGAUACGGGCGGACUUGAGGGAUGUAGGGGAGAACGGAAUUCCUGGUGGAGCGGUGGAAUGCGCAGAUAUCAGGAGGAACACCAGUGGCGAAGGCGGUUCUCUGGACAUUUCCUGACGCUGAGAAGCGAAAGCGUGGGGAGCAAACAGGCUUAGAUACCCUGGUAGUCCACGCCGUAAACGGUGGCACUAGGUGUGGGACCCAUUCCACGGGUUCCGUGCCGUAGCUAACGCAUUAAGUGCCCCGCCUGGGGAGUACGGCCGCAAGGCUAAAACUC